GAUGAACGCUGGCGGCGUGCCUAAUACAUGCAAGUCGAGCGAACAGACGAGGAGCUUGCUCCUCUGACGUUAGCGGCGGACGGGUGAGUAACACGUGGAUAACCUACCUAUAAGACUGGGAUAACUUCGGGAAACCGGAGCUAAUACCGGAUAAUAUAUUGAACCGCAUGGUUCAAUAGUGAAAGACGGUUUUGCUGUCACUUAUAGAUGGAUCCGCGCCGCAUUAGCUAGUUGGUAAGGUAACGGCUUACCAAGGCAACGAUGCGUAGCCGACCUGAGAGGGUGAUCGGCCACCCUGGAACUGAGACACGGUCCAGACUCCUACGGGAGGCAGCAGUAGGGAAUCUUCCGCAAUGGGCGAAAGCUUGACGGAGCAACGCCGCGUGAGUGAUGAAGGUCUUCGGAUCGUAAAACUCUGUUAUUAGUGAAGAACAAAUGUGUAAGUAACUAUGCACGUCUUGACGGUACCUAAUCAGAAAGCCACGGCUAACUACGUG
rnacentral:rRNA from 1 species